ACUAUCGUUAACUGAAUACAUAGGUUAACGAGGCGAACCGGGGGAACUGAAACAUCUAAGUACCCCGAGGAAAAGAAAUCAACCGAGAUUCCCCCAGUAGCGGCGAGCGAACGGGGAGCAGCCCAGAGUCUGAAUCAGCUUGUGUGUUAGUGGAACGGUCUGGAAAGUCCGACGGUACAGGGUGAUAGUCCCGUACACCAAAAUGCACAGGCUGUGAACUCGAAGAGUAGGGCGGGACACGUGGUAUCCUGUCUGAAUAUGGGGGGACCAUCCUCCAAGGCUAAAUACUCCUGACUGACCGAUAGUGAACCAGUACCGUGAGGGAAAGGCGAAAAGAACCCCGGCGAGGGGAGUGAAAAAGAACCUGAAACCGUGUACGUACAAGCAGUGGGAGCACCUUCGGGUGUGACUGCGUACCUUUUGUAUAAUGGGUCAGCGACUUAUAUUCUGUAGCAAGGUUAACCGUAUAGGGGAGCCGCAGGGAAACCGAGUCUUAACUGGGCGUUAAGUUGCAGGGUAUAGACCCGAAACCCGGUGAUCUAGCCAUGGGCAGGUUGAAGGUUGGGUAACACUAACUGGAGGACCGAACCGACUAAUGUUGAAAAAUUAGCGGAUGACUUGUGGCUGGGGGUGAAAGGCCAAUCAAACCGGGAGAUAGCUGGUUCUCCCCGAAAGCUAUUUAGGUAGCGCCUCGUGAAUUCAUCUUCGGGGGUAGAGCACUGUUUCGGCUAGGGGGUCAUCCCGACUUACCAACCCGAUGCAAACUACGAAUACCGAAGAAUGUUAUCACGGGAGACACACGGCGGGUGCUAACGUCCGUCGUGAAGAGGGAAACAACCCAGACCGCCAGCUAAGGUCCCAAAGUCAUGGUUAAGUGGGAAACGAUGUGGGAAGGCACAGACAGCCAGGAUGUUGGCUUAGAAGCAGCCAUCAUUUAAAGAAAGCGUAAUAGCUCACUGGUCGAGUCGGCCUGCGCGGAAGAUGUAACGGGGCUAAACCAUGCACCGAAGCUGCGGCAGCGACACUAUGUGUUGUUGGGUAGGGGAGCGUUCUGUAAGCCUGCGAAGGUGACCUGUGAGGGUUGCUGGAGGUAUCAGAAGUGCGAAUGCUGACAUAAGUAACGAUAAAGCGGGUGAAAAGCCCGCUCGCCGGAAGACCAAGGGUUCCUGUCCAACGUUAAUCGGGGCAGGGUGAGUCGACCCCUAAGGCGAGGCCGAAAGGCGUAGUCGAUGGGAAACAGGUUAAUAUUCCUGUACUUGGUGUUACUGCGAAGGGGGGACGGAGAAGGCUAUGUUAGCCGGGCGACGGUUGUCCCGGUUUAAGCAUGUAGGCUGGUUGUCCAGGCAAAUCCGGAUAAUCAAGGCUGAGGUGUGAUGACGAGGCACUACGGUGCUGAAGUAACAAAUGCCCUGCUUCCAGGAAAAGCCUCUAAGCAUCAGGUAACAUUAAAUCGUACCCCAAACCGACACAGGUGGUCAGGUAGAGAAUACCAAGGCGCUUGAGAGAACUCGGGUGAAGGAACUAGGCAAAAUGGUGCCGUAACUUCGGGAGAAGGCACGCUGGUGUGUAGGUGAAGUCCCUGCGGAUGGAGCUGAGACCAGUCGAAGAUACCAGCUGGCUGCAACUGUUUAUUAAAAACACAGCACUGUGCAAACACGAAAGUGGACGUAUACGGUGUGACGCCUGCCCGGUGCCGGAAGGUUAAUUGAUGGGGUUAUCCGUAAGGAGAAGCUCUUGAUCGAAGCCCCGGUAAACGGCGGCCGUAACUAUAACGGUCCUAAGGUAGCGAAAUUCCUUGUCGGGUAAGUUCCGACCUGCACGAAUGGCGUAAUGAUGGCCAGGCUGUCUCCACCCGAGACUCAGUGAAAUUGAACUCGCUGUGAAGAUGCAGUGUACCCGCGGCAAGACGGAAAGACCCCGUGAACCUUUACUAUAGCUUGACACUGAACAUUGAGCCUUGAUGUGUAGGAUAGGUGGGAGGCUUUGAAGCGUGGACGCCAGUCUGCGUGGAGCCAACCUUGAAAUACCACCCUUUAAUGUUUGAUGUUCUAACGUUGGCCCCUUACCGGGGUUGCGGACAGUGUCUGGUGGGUAGUUUGACUGGGGCGGUCUCCUCCCAAAGCGUAACGGAGGAGCACGAAGGUUAGCUAAUCCUGGUCGGACAUCAGGAGGUUAGUGCAAUGGCAUAAGCUAGCUUGACUGCGAGCGUGACGGCGCGAGCAGGUGCGAAAGCAGGUCAUAGUGAUCCGGUGGUUCUGAAUGGAAGGGCCAUCGCUCAACGGAUAAAAGGUACUCCGGGGAUAACAGGCUGAUACCGCCCAAGAGUUCAUAUCGACGGCGGUGUUUGGCACCUCGAUGUCGGCUCAUCACAUCCUGGGGCUGAAGUAGGUCCCAAGGGUAUGGCUGUUCGCCAUUUAAAGUGGUACGCGAGCUGGGUUUAGAACGUCGUGAGACAGUUCGGUCCCUAUCUGCCGUGGGCGCUGGAGAAUUGAGGGGGGCUGCUCCUAGUACGAGAGGACCGGAGUGGACGCAUCACUGGUGUUCGGGUUGUCAUGCCAAUGGCACUGCCCGGUAGCUAAAUGCGGAAGAGAUAAGUGCUGAAAGCAUCUAAGCACGAAACUUGCCCCGAGAUGAGUUCU
rnacentral:rRNA from 1 species